AACCGACAACAAAGGACCGAAAUAAUCAAAAUUCCUGCAUUCAUCAAAAUUUGAAGGGCGAACAAAUAAUCGAAACGGCAUCGUCGCCCUUGAAAAUUCACGCCAAAACCACACACACCGACGAAAUAAAUUCAGCAGUCGUAUUCGGGACCAUCUCGCUCAAACUUUCAUGCACUUGGCCAUUGUACAAACUCUCUGUCUGUCUGGACAUCUUCUUCUUUUAUUAUUUACCAUAAGAAAGGGAACACGUUCGGUUCUCGUCUGGAGGGUUUGGUGCUGAAAAACAUUGACGAGAGUAGACCACGAUUUCCUUUUGAACAACCAGACGGUGCCAAGAAAAAAAGAAAAAGUAGUUUUUUACUCGAUAGAGACGUCAGAGCAGUCUGCUGGGGGAUUUUUUGUGCGGAGGAAACGCAUCCGCUGGAUGGUGAGUGAGAGAGACGGUGCGGAGUAGACAAAUAAAGAAGCUGGAAGAAGAAGAUAUAUCUGUAUGAAGAAAAAAUGAACAACGGGGAGAGAAAAAUCAACGUCACUCGACGCGAUGAACAACAAACGGAGAGGAAAAGGAUAAAUUUGAAUAAUAAGAGUCGACUGCUGCAAUGCCCAUGGCCUUUCACCCUCAGCCCAGACACAAUAUGAUCGAGCUGUUUAUAUAUUUUUUACCGCACUUUUGAGAUUUUCAAUGUCGUGAUUUUUUUUUGAUUAAAUUUUUCUAAAAUAAUUUAUUGUAUGGACGUACAAUGGAAAGGAUUUCUAUUCGAUCGGCCCAGCAUUUCAUUGGAUUCAAUCCGGUUUUAGAGCGCUUCUUAUCAUUGACCCUAGCGCUGGAAAAUAGUCGGCGAGUGAAUAGAAUAUAAUUUAAAAUACGGGAAAAUAUAUUCAACAUCCAACAACAAAGAUAUUAUGUUACAAAAGGCUAUACAAAACGUGAACUGCUGGGCAAAAAGAUUGUUGGACAAUCAAAAGGAAAGCUGUAAAUAAAAUAGCUCCCUUACGGGUGGGGUUUAUUCGCUAUAGAAAGAUUUAUUGAAAUCAAAUUUUUUAAGUAGA